ACUGGGCGUUAAGUUGCAGGGUAUAGACCCGAAACCCGGUGAUCUAGCCAUGGGCAGGUUGAAGGUUGGGUAACACUAACUGGAGGACCGAACCGACUAAUGUUGAAAAAUUAGCGGAUGACUUGUGGCUGGGGGUGAAAGGCCAAUCAAACCGGGAGAUAGCUGGUUCUCCCCGAAAGCUAUUUAGGUAGCGCCUCGUGAAUUCAUCUCCGGGGGUAGAGCACUGUUUCGGCAAGGGGGUCAUCCCGACUUACCAACCCGAUGCAAACUGCGAAUACCGGAGAAUGUUAUCACGGGAGACACACGGCGGGUGCUAACGUCCGUCGUGAAGAGGGAAACAACCCAGACCGCCAGCUAAGGUCCCAAAGUCAUGGUUAAGUGGGAAACGAUGUGGGAAGGCCCAGACAGCCAGGAUGUUGGCUUAGAAGCAGCCAUCAUUUAAAGAAAGCGUAAUAGCUCACUGGUCGAGUCGGCCUGCGCGGAAGAUGUAACGGGGCUAAACCAUGCACCGAAGCUGCGGCAGCGACGCUUAUGCGUUGUUGGGUAGGGGAGCGUUCUGUAAGCCUGCGAAGGUGUGCUGUGAGGCAUGCUGGAGGUAUCAGAAGUGCGAAUGCUGACAUAAGUAACGAUAAAGCGGGUGAAAAGCCCGCUCGCCGGAAGACCAAGGGUUCCUGUCCAACGUUAAUCGGGGCAGGGUGAGUCGACCCCUAAGGCGAGGCCGAAAGGCGUAGUCGAUGGGAAACAGGUUAAUAUUCCUGUACUUGGUGUUACUGCGAAGGGGGGACGGAGAAGGCUAUGUUGGCCGGGCGACGGUUGUCCCGGUUUAAGCGUGUAGGCUGGUUUUCCAGGCAAAUCCGGAAAAUCAAGGCUGAGGCGUGAUGACGAGGCACUACGGUGCUGAAGCAACAAAUGCCCUGCUUCCAGGAAAAGCCUCUAAGCAUCAGGUAACAUCAAAUCGUACCCCAAACCGACACAGGUGGUCAGGUAGAGAAUACCAAGGCGCUUGAGAGAACUCGGGUGAAGGAACUAGGCAAAAUGGUGCCGUAACU
rnacentral:rRNA from 1 species